rnacentral:rRNA from 1 species
UUAAGCGACUAAGCGUACACGGUGGAUGCCCUGGCAGUCAGAGGCGAUGAAGGACGUGCUAAUCUGCGAAAAGCGUCGGUAAGGUGAUAUGAACCGUUAUAACCGGCGAUGUCCGAAUGGGGAAACCCAGUGCAAUUCGUUGCACUAUCGUUAACUGAAUACAUAGGUUAACGAGGCGAACCGGGGGAACUGAAACAUCUAAGUACCCCGAGGAAAAGAAAUCAACCGAGAUUCCCCCAGUAGCGGCGAGCGAACGGGGAGCAGCCCAGAGUCUGAAUCAGCUUGUGUGUUAGUGGAACGGUCUGGAAAGUCCGACGGUACAGGGUGAUAGUCCCGUACACCAAAAUGCACAGGUUGUGAACUCGAAGAGUAGGGCGGGACACGUGGUAUCCUGUCUGAAUAUGGGGGGACCAUCCUCCAAGGCUAAAUACUCCUGACUGACCGAUAGUGAACCAGUACCGUGAGGGAAAGGCGAAAAGAACCCCGGCGAGGGGAGUGAAAAAGAACCUGAAACCGUGUACGUACAAGCAGUGGGAGCACCUUCGGGUGUGACUGCGUACCUUUUGUAUAAUGGGUCAGCGACUUAUAUUCUGUAGCAAGGUUAACCGUAUAGGGGAGCCGCAGGGAAACCGAGUCUUAACUGGGCGUUAAGUUGCAGGGUAUAGACCCGAAACCCGGUGAUCUAGCCAUGGGCAGGUUGAAGGUUGGGUAACACUAACUGGAGGACCGAACCGACUAAUGUUGAAAAAUUAGCGGAUGACUUGUGGCUGGGGGUGAAAGGCCAAUCAAACCGGGAGAUAGCUGGUUCUCCCCGAAAGCUAUUUAGGUAGCGCCUCGUGAAUUCAUCUUCGGGGGUAGAGCACUGUUUCGGCUAGGGGGUCAUCCCGACUUACCAACCCGAUGCAAACUACGAAUACCGAAGAAUGUUAUCACGGGAGACACACGGCGGGUGCUAACGUCCGUCGUGAAGAGGGAAACAACCCAGACCGCCAGCUAAGGUCCCAAAGUCAUGGUUAAGUGGGAAACGAUGUGGGAAGGCACAGACAGCCAGGAUGUUGGCUUAGAAGCAGCCAUCAUUUAAAGAAAGCGUAAUAGCUCACUGGUCGAGUCGGCCUGCGCGGAAGAUGUAACGGGGCUAAACCAUGCACCGAAGCUGCGGCAGCGACACUAUGUGUUGUUGGGUAGGGGAGCGUUCUGUAAGCCUGCGAAGGUGUGCUGUGAGGGUUGCUGGAGGUAUCAGAAGUGCGAAUGCUGACAUAAGUAACGAUAAAGCGGGUGAAAAGCCCGCUCGCCGGAAGACCAAGGGUUCCUGUCCAACGUUAAUCGGGGCAGGGUGAGUCGACCCCUAAGGCGAGGCCGAAAGGCGUAGUCGAUGGGAAACAGGUUAAUAUUCCUGUACUUGGUGUUACUGCGAAGGGGGGACGGAGAAGGCUAUGUUAGCCGGGCGACGGUUGUCCCGGUUUAAGCAUGUAGGCUGAUUAUCCAGGCAAAUCCGGAUAAUCAAGGCUGAGGUGUGAUGACGAGGCACUACGGUGCUGAAGUAACAAAUGCCCUGCUUCCAGGAAAAGCCUCUAAGCAUCAGGUAACAUCAAAUCGUACCCCAAACCGACACAGGUGGUCAGGUAGAGAAUACCAAGGCGCUUGAGAGAACUCGGGUGAAGGAACUAGGCAAAAUGGUGCCGUAACUUCGGGAGAAGGCACGCUGGUGUGUAGGUGAAGCCCCUGCGGGUGGAGCUGAGACCAGUCGAAGAUACCAGCUGGCUGCAACUGUUUAUUAAAAACACAGCACUGUGCAAACACGAAAGUGGACGUAUACGGUGUGACGCCUGCCCGGUGCCGGAAGGUUAAUUGAUGGGGUUAUCCGUAAGGAGAAGCUCUUGAUCGAAGCCCCGGUAAACGGCGGCCGUAACUAUAACGGUCCUAAGGUAGCGAAAUUCCUUGUCGGGUAAGUUCCGACCUGCACGAAUGGCGUAAUGAUGGCCAGGCUGUCUCCACCCGAGACUCAGUGAAAUUGAACUCGCUGUGAAGAUGCAGUGUACCCGCGGCAAGACGGAAAGACCCCGUGAACCUUUACUAUAGCUUGACACUGAACAUUGAGCCUUGAUGUGUAGGAUAGGUGGGAGGCUUUGAAGCGUGGACGCCAGUCUGCGUGGAGCCAACCUUGAAAUACCACCCUUUAAUGUUUGAUGUUCUAACGUUGGCCCCUGACCGGGGUUGCGGACAGUGUCUGGUGGGUAGUUUGACUGGGGCGGUCUCCUCCCAAAGCGUAACGGAGGAGCACGAAGGUUAGCUAAUCCUGGUCGGACAUCAGGAGGUUAGUGCAAUGGCAUAAGCUAGCUUGACUGCGAGCGUGACGGCGCGAGCAGGUGCGAAAGCAGGUCAUAGUGAUCCGGUGGUUCUGAAUGGAAGGGCCAUCGCUCAACGGAUAAAAGGUACUCCGGGGAUAACAGGCUGAUACCGCCCAAGAGUUCAUAUCGACGGCGGUGUUUGGCACCUCGAUGUCGGCUCAUCACAUCCUGGGGCUGAAGUAGGUCCCAAGGGUAUGGCUGUUCGCCAUUUAAAGUGGUACGCGAGCUGGGUUUAGAACGUCGUGAGACAGUUCGGUCCCUAUCUGCCGUGGGCGCUGGAGAAUUGAGGGGGGCUGCUCCUAGUACGAGAGGACCGGAGUGGACGCAUCACUGGUGUUCGGGUUGUCAUGCCAAUGGCACUGCCCGGUAGCUAAAUGCGGAAGAGAUAAGUGCUGAAAGCAUCUAAGCACGAAACUUGCCCCGAGAUGAGUUCUCCCUGAGACUUUAAGUCUCCUGAAGGAACGUUGAAGACGACGACGUUGAUAGGCCGGGUGUGUAAGCGCAGCGAUGCGUUGAGCUAACCGGUACUAAUGAACCGUGAGGCUUAACCUU